ensembl:snRNA U6 U6 spliceosomal RNA
GUGCUCGCUCUGGCAGCACAUAUACUAAAAUUGGAACGACACAGAGAAUAUUAGCAUGGCCCCUGUGCAAGCAUGAUAUACAAAUUUGUGAAGCGUUCCCUAUUUUU